rnacentral:ncRNA from 1 species
CACCAUGGCACGGGGUGCAUCUGUUAGCUCAAGGAAUUCAAAUGAUUUGAGUAAAACUUUUGCUGAAAUGAUACUCGCAUGACCUGAUCUGGGUUAUACCAGCGUAGGGAUGUCAUCAAAUCUUUCC